rnacentral:rRNA from 1 species
CAGCGCCGCGGGAAUACGUAGGGUGCGAGCGUUAAUCGGAAUUACUGGGCGUAAAGCGUGCGCAGGCGGUUAUAUAAGACAGAUGUGAAAUCCCCGGGCUCAACCUAGGACCUGCAUUUGUGACUGUAUAGCUAGAGUACGGUAGAGGGGGAUGGAAUUCCGCGUGUAGCAGUGAAAUGCGUAGAUAUGCGGAGGAACACCGAUGGCGAAGGCAAUCCCCUGGACCUGUACUGACGCUCAUGCACGAAAGCGUGGGGAGCAAACAGGAUUAGAUACCCGAGUAGUCCCUGUCUCUUAUACA